AGUGCAGCCAGUUCAGCUAUAAAGAACAGACCUAUUAUAUCAAUGAUUUAAUUUCAUAUAAAUUAUUUCCAAAAGAUAAAGAUUGUAAUUGUAAACUCACCUAUAUGGUGUGAUACAAAGUCGCCGUUCUAAUAAAAUUACACCUUCUUCUGGAUCUUCAUAUUUAUAUUCUUGAGUACUAACAUAUGAAAGCACAGACCUACAACUCACAUUUUAUUUAAGUAAGAAAUUGUACACUUUUGAAAAGUACUGUUAUUAAGAAAUAUUGCACUAUACUCACGAGUUUUUUUCGAUUUUAUACAUAUCUAAGCCUUUGACUUUUGGCAUAUUCUCCAUCUUCUUGAAAUCAGUGUUAUUCUCUAAUCUCGAGGAAGAUGAUUUUUCAGAGUCCAAUAAAUAAAUCUGUUUUUUACAUUGUACAGCUGCUGCUACGUGAACCGGAGUCAUUCCAUCAUUUGAUCUGAAAUUAUUACAUUUACAUAUUUGCAUUAAAUUACAAGAUUAUUAUAAUCUAAAUUUAUGAUCAUACCUCACAUUGGGAUUGCCACCAUGACGUAAAAAUAACUUGGUGACUUCUUCUGCAAAUUCUUCUGAAUCAUUCCCGAUAACUAAGUGAAAUGGAGUUACUCCGUGCGUUGGAAUUAAGACAUUGGGAUCUGCAUCUUUAUUUAACAGAAGGGUCGCCACUUGCCUAAUAUGAGAAAUUUCCAUCGCAAAGGGAUGAAGCUAAAAAUAGGCCACCUUUUCUUUUUGGAGUCGUCAACAUUCUCGUGCUUCGAUAUCGUCCGCAAUAAAUAACGAUGGCAAAUAUAACGAUACUUUACAAAAAUCGUCUAUUUUUAUACACGUUUUGCUGUUAUAAUAACAAACCAUGAACAAUUUACGUAGCAAAGUGGAAUAAACAAUAUCGAUACAA